GACGAACGCUAGCGGCAGGCCUAACACAUGCAAGUCGAGGGGUGGCAGGAUUAAGCUUGCUUAAUUGCUGACGACCGGCGCACGGGUGCGUAACGCGUAUGCAACCUACCUUAUACUGGGGUAUAGCCCGGAGAAAUUCGGAUUAAUCCCCCAUAGUACUAAUGAAUCGCAUGGUUUCUUAGUUAAAGCAUUGCGGUAUAAGAUGGGCAUGCGUACUAUUAGCUAGAUGGUGAGGUAACGGCUCACCAUGGCUACGAAAGGUAGGGGGCCUGAGAGGGUGGGCCCCCACACUGGUACUGAGGCACGGACCAGACUCCUACGGGAGGCAGCAGUGAGGAAUAUUGGUCAAUGGGCGCAAGCCUGAACCAGCCAUGCCGCGUGCAGGAAGAAUGCCCUAUGGGUUGUAAACUGCUUUUAUUUGGGAAUAAACCUCUUUACGUGUAGAGAGCUGAAGGUACCAAAUGAAUAAGCACCGGCUAACUCCGUGCCAGCCGCCGCCGUAA
rnacentral:rRNA from 1 species